CCUACGGGAGGCAGCAGUGAGGAAUAUUGGUCAAUGGGCGCGAGCCUGAACCAGCCAAGUAGCGUGAAGGAUGACUGCCCUACGGGUUGUAAACUUCUUUUAUAAAGGAAUAAAGUGAGGCACGUGUGCCUUUUUGUAUGUACUUUAUGAAUAAGGAACGGCUCACUCCGUUCCAGCCGCCGCGGGAAUACGGAGGAUGCGAGCGUUAUCCGGAUUUAUUGGGUUUAAAGGGGGCGUAGAUGGGUUGUUAAGUUAGUUGUGAAAGUUUGCGGCUCAACCGUAAAAUUGCAAUUGAUACUGGCAGUCUUGAGUACAGUUGAGGUAGGCGGAAUUCGUGGUGUAGCGGUGAAAUGCGUAGAUAUCACGAAGAACUCCGAUUGCGAAGGCAGCUUACUAAACUGCCACUGACAUUGAUGCGCGAAAGUGUGGGUAUCAAACAGGAUUAGAUACCCGGGUAGUC
rnacentral:rRNA from 1 species